GGCGAACGGGUGAGUAACACGUGGGUGAUCUGCCCUGCACUUCGGGAUAAGCCUGGGAAACUGGGUCUAAUACCGGAUAGGACGAUGGUUUGGAUGCCAUUGUGGAAAGCUUUUCGGUGUGGGAUGAGCUCGCGGCCUAUCAGCUUGUUGGUGGGGUAAUGGCCUACCAAGGCGUCGACGGGUAGCCGGCCUGAGAGGGUGUACGGCCACAUUGGGACUGAGAUACGGCCCAG
rnacentral:rRNA from 1 species